rnacentral:rRNA from 1 species
CAAGUCGCGUGAGGGAUGAAGGUUCUAUGGAUCGUAAACCUCUUUUAUAAGGGAAUAAAGUGUGGGACGUGUCCUGUUUUGUAUGUACCUUAUGAAUAAGGAUCGGCUAACUCCGUGCCAGCAGCCGCGGUAAUACGGAGGAUCCGAGCGUUAUCCGGAUUUAUUGGGUUUAAAGGGUGCGUAGGCGGCCUUUUAAGUCAGCGGUGAAAGUCUGUGGCUCAACCAUAGAAUUGCCGUUGAAACUGGGAGGCUUGAGUAUGUUUGAGGCAGGCGGAAUGCGUGGUGUAGCGGUGAAAUGCUUAGAUAUCACGCAGAACCCCGAUUGCGAAGGCAGCCUGCCAAGCCAUGACUGACGCUGAUGCACGAAAGCGUGGGGAUCAAACAGGAUUAGAUACCCUGGUAGUCCACGCAGUAAACGAUGAUCACUAGCUGUUUGCGAUACAGUGUAA